GGGUAUGAGGGCAGUCUGGCUGUGAUAUCUGUCACCCCAUUCAUCGCCAGGGUUAAUUUGGCUGAUCUGGCUGGCUAGGCAGGUGCCUUCUUGUUCCUUCACCUCUCCAUGUGUGUCCCUUCCCAAAGUUAAGCGAGGACAUUUCCUGAAUAGAGACUGACUCCAUUGAGGGUAUACAAGUAGCCACACUCCCCUGCUAGAACCUCCAGACAAGCUCUCAAGGUCCGAAGCUUCUUUCAGUUUGGUAGGGGGCCAGACCUGAACCUGGAUUGUGCACAUGGCAAAGCAACACACUAU
rnacentral:snRNA from 1 species